GGACCACUCCAUGAUGGAGUUAAGGCCAUACGGACAGCCGGGUCCACUGCCGA
rnacentral:sRNA from 12 species